UACGUAGGGAGCGAGCGUUGUCCGGAAUUACUGGGUGUAAAGGGUGCGUAGGCGGGUUUGCAAGUCAGAUGUGAAAUGCCGGGGCUCAACCCCGGAGCUGCAUUUGAAACUGCAGAUCUUGAGUGAGGUAGAGGUAAGCGGAAUUCCUAGUGUAGCGGUGAAAUGCGUAGAUAUUAGGAGGAACAUCGGUGGCGAAGGCGGCUUACUGGGCCUUUACUGACGCUGAGGCACGAAAGCGUGGGGAGCAAAC
rnacentral:rRNA from 1 species